rnacentral:rRNA from 1 species
GACGAACGCUGGCGGCGUGCUUAACACAUGCAAGUCGAACGGAAAGGCCCUGCUCUUGUGGGGUGCUCGAGUGGCGAACGGGGGAGUAACACGUGAGUAACCUGCCCUUGACUUUGGGAUAACUCCAGGAAACUGGGGCUAAUACCGGAUAGGAGCUCCUGCUGCACGGGGGGGGUUGGUAAGUUUCGGCGGUUGGGGAUGGACUCGCGGCUUAUCGGCUUGUUGGGGGGGUAGUGGCUUACCAAGGCUUUGACGGGUAGCCGGCCUGGGAGGGUGACCGGCCACAUUGGGACUGAGAUACGGCCCAGACUCCUACGGGAGGCAGCAGUGGGGAAUCUUGCACAAUGGGCGGAAGCCUGAUGCAGCAACGCCGCGUGCGGGAUGACGGCCUUCGGGUUGUAAACCGCUUUCGCCUGUGGCGAAGCGUGAGUGACGGUAAUGGGUAAAGAAGCACCGGCUAACUACGUG